GCAGUGACAACACUGCUCCUUAGCCCUCCAACCUGCUAGGGAACUCCUGUUUGCUUUAUUUUUAAAAUCAAUUUUAAUAGCAACCUGCUUGUGCCCUGAAAAAAUGUCCAAGAGCACCAAGGAAGAGUUGAAUAUAAAUAUUAUGUUUACAGGGUGUUCCUGUUGUGGCUCAGUGGUUAACGAAUCCGACUAGGAACUAGUAGGUGCAGGUUUGAUCCCUGGCCUUGCUCAGUGGGUUAAGGAUCCGGUGUUGCUGUGAGCCAUGGUGUAGGUUGCAGACGCGGCUCAGAUCCUGGGUUGCUGUGGCUCUGGCGUAGGCCAGUGGCUACAGCUCUGAUUUGACCCCUAGCCUGGGAACCUCCAUAUGCCAUGGGAGCGGCCCAAGAAAAUGGCAAAAAGACAAAAAUAAAAAAAAAAAAAAAAUAGGGAGUUCCCAUUGUGGCUCAGCAGUAAUGAAUCUGACUAGUAUCCAUGAGGAUGCAGGUUCGAUCCCUGGCUUUGCUUAGUGGGUUAAGUUAUCUGGCAUUGCCAUCAGCUGUAGCAGCUCGGAUCUACAGCUGUGGCUGUGGCAUAGGUCAGCAGCUACAGCUCCAAUUUGACCCCUAGCCUGGGAACUUCCAUAUGCUGCAUGUGUGGCCCUAAAAAGGAACAAAAAAGAAAGAAAUAGUAGAGGGAAUGAUGAGCUUUCAGAUUGAGCUCAGAAGCUCCUUUGCUUCAGACUCUCCCAGACUCGUUUUAUGUAUCUUUUCAUCUAGCUGUUCAGAUGUACCCUUUAUCAUGUCCUUUAAUAAAUUGGUGAAUGUGGAAAAAAAAAAAAAAAGAGUUCCCUUGGAUUGUAAAAAUGUAGCCCACCUAAUCCUCAGGGCAGAGCCUUCUUGCCUGCCCACUUGCAUCUCUCACCAGCGUCUUAUCUUAAUAAAUCUCUUUCUUGCCUAUCAAGAAAAAAAAAAAAAGAUUUAGAGUAAGAAACAGAUACAAAUUUGAGGAAUUUCCUGUACAUUGGUGUUAGCACCAAGGGUCUAUUGGAGAGAAUGUCCUGCUUUGAUAGACUCAAGGAAUAGCCUGCUUCCUUUUGUUUUUGUUUUUGUUUUUGUUUUUUUCCUUUGGCCAUACCUGUGGCAUGUGGAAGUUCCCAGGCCAGGGACUGAACCUGGUGACAAUUGCAUCCUGCACCACAACUCUAGCAACACCAGAUUCUUAACCCACUGUGUCACAGGGAAACUUCCUCUAAUUUUUUAUUUUUAUUUUUUUGGCAAUGCCUAGGGCAUGUGGACAUUCCCAGGCUAGGGAACCUGAGCCAUAGCAAUCACAGUGCUGGAUCCUUAACCGCUGAGCUACAGAGGAACUCCUGCAGCUUCCUUUUUUAAAGGAAUUUUAAAAUUUCUUUAAUUUACCCCUGUGAAUACCUUUCAGAAGGAAGACUUUCUUUUUUUAGAAACACUCAGCAUCUCAUUCCCCAACUGUAGGCAAAAGCUUGAGAGUCUGAUCUUGUUAUGUCUGGGAAUGUGGUUACUAGAUUUUCUACUAAUGGCUGUAUUUUACAUGAUAAUGAAUCAGUCUUUUCUACAAAGCUGCUUCAUUUAUGCAAAACAGAUAUAAACUGAAAGGAGUAUGAAUCAAACUAUUCUUUCAGGAAGCGGAGAAGCUACUGUGGAGCCUGACUAUAAUUUUAUGGGCCCUUAUGUCAAGUUAACCAAGGAAGUGUUGGUUCUGUAGUCAUCAAAGAUAUCCUGAUUGGACAGUUGGGUAAACAGAAAACAGCUUUUGCACUUCAGGCCUUUGCUGCUUACUUCCUAGUUUGGGAAGGUCAACUCAUUUUCAACCACUUUGACAUAAUAACCUCUUGUACACUAGUAGCCCGAAAGCAUUAAUGAUGCUCCUGCCCACUGAUUUUCAGUUAUACAUGAAGGGUGUUCCAAACUGGUCCUGGCUAUCAACAAAGAAAACGGCAGAAAAAUAAAUUAGCAAGGGGAGGGAGUUCCCAUCGUGGCUCAGUUGUUAACGAAUCCAACUAGGAACCAUGAGGUUUCGGGUUUGAUCCCUGGCCUUGCUCAGUGGGUUAAAGAUCUGGCGUUGCCAUGAGCUGUGGUGUAGGUUGCAGUCUCGGCUUGGAUCUGGCGUUGCUGUGGCUGUGGCAUAGGCCGGCGGCUACAGCUCUGAUUGGACCCCUAGCCUGGAAACCUCCAUAUGCCAAGGGUGCGGCCCUAAGAAAAGACAAAAAGACCAAAA
ensembl:lncRNA